AUGCUUAAACAUGUAAUGAUCGGGGCCUAGAAGCCCAAAAGAGAAAAAGCUCAUAAAGCUUACAACUUGCUAGAAAAACACGUCCUGAUUUACACUGAAAGAUACACAAUAUGAAUAAAGAAACGAGCUCUAGCAACUGGCAGUCAAGCCAAAUAAAGAUAAACAACUACCAAGGCAUAUACUAACCACUAAUGUCCCUUACAAUAACUAUUCAUAAAGGCAGUGUAGUGGGUUAAUUUCUCAAAAAGGAGUCUGGCAUAGGGAGCUGGACAAAACAGAGGAGCAAGGUUCUCAGGUGGGGAGGUAGUUGUGUUAAGAGAGCUAUCCCAGAAAUCAUCCUCCUUGGCAAGCUAUCAUAACAUCCUUAACUAAGGCUCUUCACAAGGGGUUGGGUGGAUUGAAAAUCCAUAAUUGAGUGAGGUUUCCCCUUCUUCUUAGAUCUGCUACUGUGUGAGCUAUUUCAUUGUCGGAUCUACGGGUCCAAUUGAAGGUAGAGGUAAUUAAAUUAUGACUUAGCUUUCUUAUGUCUCCUAGAAUGUUAUGGAUUUCACCAAUUUUCUUGUUCCCAUUGCAAGCAUCUAUGAGUGAUUUGUUGUCUGACUCAAAGACCACAUGUUGCCAAGGAUGGAAGCCUCCCUCAAAGCCAGCGCUUCUGCAAUAAGAGGGGAAGGGCAUAGAUUAGCCUGGCUGAGCCUGACAGGGGUUGGCCUUGAGAGUCCCUUGCAAUUGCUGAGGUGCUAUGGAUCGAAGUACCUGGAGACCAGCUAGCAUCGGUGUUUAACGUGAUGAAUCCCAGCGGUGGAGAGCGCCAGGAGGUGUUCUGGAUUGUUUCUCAAAGGAAAGAUCCUUUCCAUCAGCCAGAGAUCCAACCUUGUUGAGGGUUAAAUUCUCGGGUCCCACUGAAGAUUAGACCCAAACCAAAUAGGCCUUGUCCACAUGCAGCUUAGCAGUGCAUGAUCUGUAGUUUCCAGCUCCGGGGAGCAGAUUGGGCAAGUUGGGUCUUGGGUAAUCCUCCUUCUGUAGAGAUUUCCUUUGAGAGGCAGUGCGUUGAAACAAGCCUUCCAUAAGAACAUUUUGACUCCUCAUCCACCAGCCUACCAAAAGAAUUAUGGGACCUUUUAUGGAAUGUAAUGUUACACUAAGCAUCGCAAUUGUAAGGUACGCGUAGGAUCAAGGCUAGAGCCCAAGUUCUCCACCCUCAACUAUGGCUGACCACAGUGAUAAAAUGGAGUGAGGGAUCAAUAUUUGGGUUUUGGGUCACAAUUUUGUGAAUAUAAUCAUAUUUGUGUUAAUUGGAGAUUUAGGUUAGGUUAGUAUAAUUCAGGGAAAUUAAUGCUUAAGAAUGUUAAUUGGAUGAUUAAAAUUUAAAACAAUUGAAUGUUACAUAGAUUUAUUAAAUGACAUGUUAAGUUCCACAUAAA